GAUGAACGCUGGCGGCGUGCCUAAUACAUGCAAGUCGAGCGAACGGACGCGACGCUUGCUUCUCUGAUGUUAGCGGCGGACGGGUGAGUAACACGUGGAUAACCUACCUAUAAGACUGGGAUAACUUCGGGAAACCGUAGCUAAUACCGGAUAAUAUUUUGAACCGCAUGGUUCAAUAGUGAAAGACGGUCUUGCUGUCACUUAUAGAUGGAUCCGCGCUGCAUUAGCUAGUUGGUAAGGUAACGGCUUACCAAGGCAACGAUGCAUAGCCGACCUGAGAGGGUGAUCGGCCACACUGGAACUGAGACACGGUCCAGACUCCUACGGGAGGCAGCAGUAGGGAAUCUUCCGCAAUGGGCGAAAGCCUGACGGAGCAACGCCGCGUGAGUGAUGAAGGUCUUCGGAGCGUAAAACUCUGUUAUUAGGGAAGAACAUAUGUGUAAGUAACUGUGCACAUCUUGACGGUACCUAAUCAGAAAGCCACGGCUAACUACGUG
rnacentral:rRNA from 1 species